rnacentral:rRNA from 1 species
AUUGAACGCUGGCGGCAUGCUUUACACAUGCAAGUCGAACGGCAGCGCGGGCUUCGGCCUGGCGGCGAGUGGCGAACGGGUGAGUAAUACAUCGGAACGUGCCCAGUAGUGGGGGAUAGCUCGGCGAAAGCCGGAUUAAUACCGCAUAUGACCUGAGGGUGAAAGCGGGGGAUCUUCGGACCUCGUGCUAUUGGAGCGGCCGAUGGCAGAUUAGCUAGUUGGUGGGGUAAAGGCCUACCAAGGCGACGAUCUGUAGCUGGUCUGAGAGGACGACCAGCCACACUGGGACUGAGACACGGCCCAGACUCCUACGGGAGGCAGCAGUGGGGAAUUUUGGACAAUGGGCGAAAGCCUGAUCCAGCAAUGCCGCGUGUGUGAUGAAGGCCUUCGGGUUGUAAAGCACUUUUGGCGGGAACGAAAAGGACUGUGCCAAUACCACGGUUCGAUGACGGUACCCGCAGAAUAAGCACCGGCUAACUACGUG